rnacentral:rRNA from 1 species
ACGGAAGGCAGCGGUGGGGAAUAUUGCACAAUGGAGGAAACUCUGAUGCAGCAACGCCGCGUGAAGGAUGAAGGUCUUCGGAUUGUAAACUUCUGUCCUUGGGGAAGAUAAUGACAAUACCCUUGGAGGAAGCCCCGGCUAACUAUGUGCCAGCAGCCGCGGUAAUACGUAGGGGGCAAGCGUUAUCCGGAAUUAUUGGGCGUAAAGAGUGCGUAGGUGGUUACCUAAGCAGGGGGUGAAAGGCACUGGCUUAACCAAUGUCAGCCCCCUGAACUGGGCUACUUGAGUGCAGGAGAGGAAAGCGGAACUCCAUGUGUAGCGGUGAAAUGCGUAGAUAUAUGGAAGAACACCAGUGGCGAAGGCGGCUUUCUGGACUGUUACUGACACUGAGGCACGAAAGUGUGGGGAGCAAACAGGAUUAGAUACCCUGGUA